UGUUUUAGUUGUCCAAGAUAAACCCUUCAAGUUUUCUCAAUUGCCUGACACCAUCUUUACAUCCCAUGUGCCAUCAUCGUUGGUUCUCCUUCGCGCUCUCUCUCUAUCCUUAUUCUUGCUCUCUGUUGGCGACUGCUUCACAUAAGCUGCGGCCUGUGAUUUCUGACGACGGGGAGGAACUCGGAUUGAGGUAGUUUCGUCGUUUUCCUGGCAUCCCCAAUCUAGCGAUGAUGAGGAAUCAACGGUGACUUGGGAGAAGAAUUCAAUCGAGCGAUGAUGAGGUGUUGCCUGGGUAGAUCGAGCAACCUGAGGGUUUAGUAAAGUGAGGAAUCAACGGUGACUUGGGAGCUAGGAUUCAAUGGAUUCCAGCGAUCGGUCAACCUUUCUAUUAUCUUCUCUUAUUCAUAGGGGAACAGAGAUAAAUAGGUUGGUGAAGGUGAAGCAUUGGGUUUCACGGCGGCCAAGGUGUGAUGGACUUUUGUAUGAUUUCUUUAGAAAAACUUGAUAUUUGGCAACCUUGAUUCUGAAAUUUACAGACCUUCCAUCAACAUACAUGCAAGAAUAGAGUACCAAAAAGAUUAUCAAAUGCAAGUUGUCAAUGAUAUGCUUGCAAGCCGAAAGCCACAUCCAUAAUCAUUGACUGGACAUGCGGAAAACAGUGUCACCUCCAUUAAUAAGGGCAUGCAAGAAUGUCAAAAAAGUUAAAAUCGAAGAUAAAUGGUAAGUACUAAGUACCUUGCAUAACUAAUUCCAUAUUAUUGCAAGUUUUAAUGUCAUUUAAACUUUACCGCUUCACAUUAUAUUAGAUUUCAAUUUUAAGUUCUCUUUUUCUUCUAACACAUUUUGCAACAGAAAGAAUCCAAUAAAGAUUACCUUCUGGUUAGAAACAUUGUUUCCAUAUAAAAAUGAAACUGCAGUUGGCUAGGUGUUGGCAGUUACAGCAACCUUGAUAACACAGUACCUAACUAAGUUUUAACAUUCUUGGCUUUAUUACACCUCUACACAGAUGUCAUAAAUCCAACCUCAUUACCAUGGCUUUACACAUCUGCACAGAUGUCUUAAAUCCAACCCCAUUACCAAAUACAUUAUCUAUAUCUUAAAUGGAAAUGUUGGUGGCAUUUCCAUUCUUAGUCCCUCCUUUUACUUGCAUUUAAUACUUUCAUCCUUAUCAUUUUCUUUGUUUGUUUGGUCUUCCUUACGUUCAAUGGUCCGCUUUCACCACUGCAAACAGCCGCCGCCACACCACUGCACGAUCGCGUGUUAAACCAUUGGUCCAUUCACACAAGGCGGUGCUUCUUAAAGACCAUAAAUAAGGUUGUUGCAUCGACUGUGGCCUUCGAUUCCAACGAGACGAAGCAAGUGCCAAGAGAGCGAUUACGGCGGCGGUGGGAAGGGAGAGAGAGACACAGUCUCGAGGCUCAAAUGGAACCAUUGUCGCUGCCAAAGUGUCGAAUGUAGCAUUUUCGUACAUUUCUAGGUUGAUGAUGAUAGCAGACGAUGGUGGAGGGCGGCGGCAGGAGGUGGUCUAUGGCAUGAGUAGCUGUUGGUCUACAAAAUACAAUCUGAUUGAGUUUUCGUUCUUCUAUUUGAUAAUCGUUUGACCGAAUUUUUUUCUUUGGGGCUGCAUUUCUUCACAUGGAUUCUUCAUCAACUGUGAUCAAGAAGAAGGCCCAAGUAAGAAAACCAAGAUCGAAGCCCCACGCCAAUCUCACAAAAAGCAUUGUAUGCAAUUGUUUUCGCCAGAAUACGUAGAAGAUGUCAAAAUACAGACAUUGUAAUCUAACCGCCAAAUUUAAGGUAAAGACUAAAGAAAUACCAUCCCAGCCGCGUAGCACGGUUCGUUUAGACAUAGGUGGAAGUUGCGAUGUUGAUGGUUCUUUGUAAGCGCUUACACAGAGCAGCAGGUUAAGGCACUGAUGGGUUAGUGUUUUUACAAUUACCAUUGGUAUUCCCUUUAUUUUCUUGGGAAUCUUGGUUGGAUUUUUGCUACUGACAGUGGGACUGCUGAUACCAUCAAAGAGACCAUACUUACACUUUAUAGUGAGUGAUGUGGUUAAAACUUAUUACAAACUUUAAUAGUGAUUUUAUUUUAUACACUUCAAUAAACGUUUAUAGUCUACAUGAUUCUUGCGUUAAUAAUCUAUUGUAUAUCCACAUGUCAUUUGGAGACAGUGAACCAUGUCAAGUUAAAAGAAACUGAAAGAAACAUGGUAACAGUUAUGAAACUUCUACAACACAAUUGAAAAUAACCUGCUAAAAAGAGACUAUUCGUAUAGCUUUCAAAGUUGUCUUUAAUAACAAUUUACGAGCUCUUUUGCACUUACCAUUAGUUAUUUAGAGAUCACAUGUAUGUUUACCGAGUAGUUCAUGGUUUAGCGGCUUAGCGUGCCGCAACGCGCGCGCGCGGGGGGCAUAAUACUAGUAAUAAUUAAAGAAAAACUACACUAGCAAUCCAACAAUAUUAAAAAAAAACUUUAUUAACUUUUCGAAGGGGUAUGGUCCUAAAUAGUGCGCACAGCCACAUGCGUGGAUACCAAACCCACGAUUAAUACACAAACACUCAGCAAGCCUUAGAGUUUCCUGCAGGAGAACAUUCGCGCAUGUGCAUGGCGACAACUCACAUAAAGGACGAAUAAUACAUGUGGCAGCAGCAUGCAACUA
rnacentral:lncRNA from 1 species